GUCUAUGUCCACACCACCUUCAACAUGCCUGGUUCCAUCUGACCUUGAAAGCUAAGCUGGGGCGGGCCUUGUUAGUACUUGAAUGAGAGAGCAGCACAUGGGAAUAACGGGUGCUGUGGGCU
rnacentral:rRNA from 1 species